rfam:Leptolyngbya valderiana BDT 20041 contig00119, whole genome shotgun sequence.
GUCAGCACCCCCGGCUGAAGCACGGGGGCUUCAUGCCCCCAGCUUCAGGUAGCUGACCAGCCUAAGCCCUUUGGGCUACGUUUUUAGGGUCAUGGCACCGACAAAUGCUUUCCAGUUUAUCGCCCUGCCGCUAACGGUUAAACAGCCCUAGAAGGGGUAAGGCAGUGCCGUUAGCCUAACAAGCCCUGAAAACAUUGGCGAGGAAAACAUUAC